CGGAAAAUGCAACUACUCUGAUGC
rnacentral:siRNA from 1 species